CGUACCCUAAACCGACUCAGGUGGUCAGGUAGAGAAUACCGAGGCGUUCGGGUGAACUAUGGUUAAGGAACUCGGCAAAAUGCCCCCGUAACUUCGGGAGAAGGGGGGCCACAUCUGGUGAUGAGCUUUGCGCUCUGAGCUGGGGGUGGCCGCAGAGACCAGCGAGAAGCGACUGUUUAACUAAAAACACAGGUCCGUGCGAAGCCGUAAGGCGAUGUAUACGGACUGACGCCUGCCCGGUGCUGGAACGUUAAGGGGACCGUUAGCUCCAGUUUCGG
rnacentral:ncRNA from 1 species